rnacentral:rRNA from 1 species
CCCAACUAUCCCUAUUAAUCAUUACGUCAAUCUUAGAAACCAACAAAAUAAGAUCGAACGUCCUAUUUCAUUAUUCCAUGCUAAUGUAUUCAAGCGUUAGCCUGCUUUAAACACUCUAAUUUUUUCAAAGUAACAGUCCAGUCUCCCCGCAACACCAAAUUAAUGGCAUUACGGUUCAUCAGGAAGGAGGAGCCAGUGAGACCAGUACAUACCAGUGGCACGACCAAUCUACUGACCCCGAAAUUCAACUA